GGAAUGUUAUUGGCAGGUGGCAUUUAAAUCUCAGCCCCUUCAGGGUUUGCCUCAACUGCAGAGAAUGAGCCUACCUGACCAAGCACAAGAUCCUUUCCAAGUCAGCCCAGGAGGGAUGACUGACAGAGCAGAGGCAGAAAGGACCAGCCAUUCUGGAGCAGGAUAAGUGUUGAUCCCAAGGGCUUGCAUAGAAAACACGUGCACAUUAAACUCAGUAUCCUAAUCUGCUUGUAGACAAAUGUUACCUGCAACAUCCAGUGGAAGAGAGUAGGAAUUCGGGAAGAUUAAAGUUGCCACCAUUGCAGAGAAAAAUCA